AAAAAACGUCAUCACUGUUUGCAAACACUGAAAUUGGUCUAUGGACGUCAAACCAACAGCAGCGUCGCGUCAAAUGGCGCAAUUUUUUAUUGAACGCGUCGUGAAUCUGCUACGGUAACGUUAGAUCGAUUUCACGGAAGAAAGAGGGAAAUACUGUUUCUUGGACGGCAUGAAUGCUCAGGAGGGAGGUAAAGGUCGAGCAGAGGCUAAUGACGCUUCAACACAGAAUGUUCUUUGAGAUCAGGCUCCUCGACUUGCAGCCUGGCAGCCUCUGAUUAUAACAGUGAUGGCUGGACAAGCGAAGGAAUUGCUGGAAUUGUGCUUGUGGAGCAGAACAGAACGUUUGGAGAUGUUUCCAGCAUGUGAUCAGUUAAAGAAGUUUCCCUCCACGGAAGACCUUGAGUGUGUCGGUGGAGGACAGGAUCUGAGAGUGGCACGGGAGACGCAUGCAGCCGUUUGA
rnacentral:lncRNA from 1 species